ACCUCCAUAGUUUAUAGCUAAUAACUGUUUCUAAGUAGAAUGGACUGCCCUAAAGUACUGAGGGACCAUGACCUGCAGUCAAUUUAGGCCCAGUCAAUUUGCCAAGUACCCAAGAUGCCUGGUCUAUCUUCAUUGGAUUUGAACCAUGGUGAUAUUAGAAUCUGGAUUGUAGAAGAUUGCAGACAGGAUGCUGAAGCCAAACCAGCCUGGCAGGAAAGAUGCUUGCAGUCACCCAGUGACAUCACACAGCUGCCUGAGGCACAAGAAGGUGCUCUGCUGCUGAAAGGAACAGCAAAAUUCAUGUCCAAAUAUCUCCAUGGUAACAGCAGAGCAUGCCAAGAUAUUGAACCAUGUGGAAGACAAAAGUACAUUUUGCUAAAAGUCUCCAUAACAACAGUGGAGCAUUGAAGGAAAGGAGAGCCCAAGCAGGGGAGGCAUUUAUCAAGUCAGAGGUUGUAGUGUUCUGUUUUCAAAAGCUCUUCCACACCUGACAUAUUGACCAACUUUGAUUAGAAAAGAACACUAUGGUAAAUCUACAUGAGAAUGUUGAUGUAAAUCAUGGUUUCAUUAUACUAGCCAAAACAUUCUAUUGGAAAGGUGGCUUUAAAAAUACCCUUUAGGAAAACAGCAUUCAUUUUUUUAAAUGCUAACAAUAUCAAUAAGAGAAGAACAAUAAAUAGAAGGAAUAAGAGUAAGGAAUGAGAUAGGAAAAUAUCUUUUUUUUGCAGAUGAUAUUAUAAUAAACUUGGAAAAUCCCAAAUAUAAUUCUCAAACUUAGUUGAAACAAUUAAUAAUUUUAGCAAAAUAGCAGAAUAUAAAAUAAAUCCACAUAAAAAUGCAAUGCAAUUUAACAAGUAUUUGUUAAGCAUUUACUAUGUGUCGGACAUUAUCUGGGGUAGUAGGAAUAUAAUCAAAGGUUAAAAAAAAAGUCACUGCUUUCAAGAAGCCUGCAUUGUCCUCAAGAUAGAAAAGAAAUUAGUAAAUUUUCAUCUAACAUAAAACCAAUCUAAUCCCAACAUAGAAUUCCAAAAAUAAAAAUGUUCAGCAAAAUAAUUCUAUUCAUGCAAAGCCUUAUUAAGCAUCUACUAUAUACAAUCCAACAUUUAAAUAAGCCAAACUAUGAAUCUCACUCCUUUGAAUUUGGAAUCAAAAGAUCUGGAUUGGAAUCCUAACUCUGAUUUUAUUAGGUUGAAAAGCUUAUAGCUGUGAGCAAGUUGUUUUCAUCCUCUGGGUUUGUUUCUUUAUCUCCAAAGAAAGAACACUGGGCUACUUACCCUUAAUAUAUCUUCCAGUUCUAAAUCCUACUUUAUGAUGUUGAUUUAUAUUUAAACUUCAAUAUUACAAUAAAACAUCAAAAGUUAAUUGAA